UAGGGAAUAUUGCAAAAUGGGCGAAAGCCCGAUGCAGCAACGCCGCGUGGGCGAUGAAGGCCUUCGGGUCGUAAAGCCCUUUUUGAGGGGAUGAGGAAGGACAGUACCCUCAGAAUAAGCCUCGGCUAACUACGUGCCAGCAGCCGCGGUAAAACGUAGGAGGCGAGCGUUAUCCGGAUUUACUGGGCGUAAAGCGCGUGCAGGCGGAUUGGAGAGUUGGAUGUGAAAGCUCCCGGCUUAACUGGGAGAGGUCGUUCAAUACUUCCAGUCUUGAGUGCAGUAGAGGGAAGUGGAAUUCCGGGUGUAGUGGUGAAAUGCGUAGAUAUCCGGAGGAACACCAGUGGCGAAAGCGGCUUCCUGGACUGUAACUGACGCUCAGACGCGAAAGCUAGG
rnacentral:rRNA from 1 species